rnacentral:rRNA from 1 species
UACGGGGGGGGCAAGCGUUGUUCGGAAUUACUGGGCGUAAAGGGUUCGUAGGUGGCUUGCUAAGUCAGACGUGAAAUCCCUCAGCUUAACUGGGGAACUGCGUUUGAAACUGGGAGACUUGAGUGUGGCAGAGGGGGGUGGAAUUCCACGUGUAGCAGUGAAAUGCGUAGAUAUGUGGAGGAACACCGAUGGCGAAGGCAGCCCCCUGGGUUAACACUGACGCUCAUGCACGAAAGCGUGGGGAGCAAACAGG